rnacentral:tRNA from 1 species
UCCCUGGUGGCUCAGAUGGUAAAGAACCUGCCUGCAAUGCAGGAGACCCAGGUUCAAUCCCUGGGUUGGGAA